rnacentral:rRNA from 2 species
GCUAGGUGUUAGGGGUUUCCAUGCCCUUACUGCCCAAAUUAACACAUUAAGCACUCCGCCUGGGGAGUACCACCGCAAGGUUGAAACUCAAAGGAAUUGACGGGGGCCCGCACAAACCGUGGAACAUGGGGUUUAAUUCCAAUCAACGCCAAAAACCUUACCAGGUCUUGACAUCCUUUGACCACUCUAUAGAUAGAGCUUUCCCCUUCGGGGGACAAAGUGACGUGUGGUGCGUGGUUGUCCUCCUCUCGUGUCGUGAGAUGUUGGGUUAACUCCCGCAACGAGCGCAACCCUUGAUCUUAUUUGCCAACAUUCAGUUGGGCACUCUAGGGAGACUGCCGGUGACAAACCGGAGGAAGGUGGGGAUGACGUCAAAUCAUCAUGCCCCUUAUGACCUGGGCUACACACGUGCUACAAUGGAUGGUACAAAGGGCUGCAAAACCGCGAGGUUGAGCGAAUCCCAUAAAGCCAUUCUCAGUUCGGAUUGUAGGCUGCAACUCGCCUACAUGAAGCCGGAAUUGCUAGUAAUCGCGGAUCAGCAUGCCGCGGUGAAUACCUUCCCGGGCCUUGUACACACCGCCCGUCACACCACGAGAGUUUGUAACACCCCAAGUCCGUGAGGUAACCUUUUGGAGCCAGCCGCCUAAGGUGGGACAAAUAAUUGGGGUGAAGUCGUACACG